GAGAGUUCUGUUCCCUUCACAUCCGUUUGUGAGAUUCCAGCCCAGAGACUCUCACAUGCCACAGAGCAACAGCUCACGUCUCCAGCUUCAGGAAGAGGAAGCUACUUGAUUCAUCAGACUGAUGAGAUCAUCAGGAUACUGGGAUCCCAACCAGGACCAGUGGGCUUACACUGUUCAAGAACAGGCCAAUGAGCACUGGACACAACUAAGAAAAGAUGCCAAGUAUUACAUGGAUAUGGGACACCUGAUGUUCGACCACUCUAUGGCUACUUAAGUCGCCCAUAGAUAACCGUAACGAGACCCCAAACACGUCCUAUUCAGAACACGCCUUACGAAUUCACAUAAUGUGUAACUCUGCUGUUGGCAUGCGUUUUUAAAUAGUCAGAUUGCAUUUAUGUCUUCCAGGGAAAACAACAGGCUCUUCUUUAUGGAGAUGCUGGGUAAUGCUUGUAUUUACCUUGACAGGUGGACAGUGACCGAUGGUCAGUAGAUGUGUUGUGGAGAUGCUGAGCAGGCACAGUGUUAUGGACAGUAGCAUCACCUCCGUGACGGUGGAUGAAUACAAUCACUGCGCUAAAUGUGCUUUCUCUACAGUGUUGUCCUUGACGUAAGAGUGUAUAGCUUGCAGAAUGCAUUUACUGUAUGUAGCCUAUUAUCCUGUUUAUUCUGUCAAAAUAAACAGUUAAAGGAAA